GAGGAUGUAGCUCAGUGGUAGAGCACAUACUUGGCAUGUGCAAGGUUCUGGGUUCAAUCCCCAGUACCUCCU
rnacentral:tRNA from 1 species